AGCGAACGCUGGCGGCAGGCCUAACACAUGCAAGUCGAACGAACUCUUCGGAGUUAGUGGCGGACGGGUGAGUAACACGUGGGAACGUGCCUUUAGGUUCGGAAUAACUCAGGGAAACUUGUGCUAAUACCGAAUGUGCCCUUCGGGGGAAAGAUUUAUCGCCUUUAGAGCGGCCCGCGUCUGAUUAGCUAGUUGGUGAUGUAAAGGCUGACCAAGGCGACGAUCAGUAGCUGGUCUGAGAGGAUGAUCAGCCACAUUGGGACUGAGACACGGCCCAAACUCCUACGGAAGGCAGCAGUGGGGAAUCUUGCGCAAUGGGCGAAAGCCUGACGCAGCCAUGCCGCGUGAAUGAUGAAGGUCUUAGGAUUGUAAAAUUCUUUCACCGGGGACGUUAAUGACGGUACCCGGAGAAGAAGCCCCGGCUAACUUCGUG
rnacentral:rRNA from 1 species